rnacentral:rRNA from 1 species
AAUCAACGCUGGCGGCGUGCCUAACACAUGCAAGUCGAACGCGAAAGCCCCGCAAGGGGUAAGUAGAGUGGCAAACGGGUGAGUAACACGUGGGUGACCUGCCUUCGAGUGGGGGAUAACGUCCCGAAAGGGACGCUAAUACCGCAUGACAUCCUGCUUUUGAAAAAGCGGAGAUCAAAGCUGGGGAUCGCAAGACCUAGCGCUUGAAGAGGGGCCCGCGCCUGAUUAGCUAGUUGGUGAGGUAACGGCUCACCAAGGCGACGAUCAGUAUCCGGCCUGAGAGGGCGGACGGACACACUGGGAGUGAGACACGGCCCAGACUCAUACGGGAGGCAGCAGUGGGGAAUUGUUCGCAAUGGGCGCAAGCCUGACGACGCAACGCCGCGUGGAGGACGAAGAUCUUCGGGUCGUAAACUCCUGUCGAGCGGGACGAACGCUUCGCGGAUGAAUAAGCCGCGGAAUUGACGGUACCGCUAAAGGAAGCCCCGGCUAACUCCGUG